GAUGAACGCUGGCGGCGGGCCUAAUACAUGCAAGUCGAGCGAACAGACGAGGAGCUUGCUCCUCUGACGUACGCGGCGGACGGGUGAGUAACACGUGGAUAACCUACCUAUAAGACUGGGAUAACUUCGGGAAACCGGAGCUAAUACCGGAUAAUAUAUUGAACCGCAUGGUUCAAUAGUGAAAGACGGUUUUGCUGUCACUUAUAGAUGGAUCCGAGCCGCAUUAGCUAGUUGGUAAGGUAACGGCCUACCAAGGCAACGAUUCGUAGCCGACCUGAGAGGGAGAUCGGCCAACCUUGAACUGAGGCACGGGCCAGAAUCCCAAGGGAGGGCGCAGUAGGGAAUCUUCGGAAAUGGGGGAAAGGCUGACGGAGGAACGCCGGGUGAGAUAAGAAGGUCUUCCGAGUGGUAAACUCUGUUAAUAGGGAAGAAAAAAUGUGUAAUUAACUACGCACGUCUUGACGGUACCUAAUCAGAAAGGCACGGCCAACUACGUG
rnacentral:rRNA from 1 species